AUAACCAAAAAUCAUAAAACCAUGACAAUAUCAAUAGCACACACGUGGGUUUUAUUUUUGUAGAAAUCAGACCGAAUGAAAAUCUGGUAUGAACAAGACUGAUGCACUGAUGUCAUUGUGGUGCAGCAAGGACAUAAACAUGGGCACUCACUGACUUGGAGUGCCUGAGGUCUGCUAAUACAGAUGUCAUCUAGCAUUCUUUCCCAAUUAAUGGUGAAAGAUCCCAUCUGUCCUGCUGGGAGCUAUCAGGCCUGUGUGUUGUCUUCUUGGCAGUAAGUCAGCUCAAGAGAGAACUGAACCCAGCCUAGCCAGUCAGCCUGGACUGAUCUAUCAAGGAGCUCAUGUGGAAGAAGUUAGUGUGUCAAUAGCAAGAAAUUAGAAGCAGUAAUUGAACAGAAGCUGUGCAAUGAUGGGAAUAUAAUCUUUAGCUAUGUCAAGUAGGGAUGCCCUGAGCUUAAAAGAAGAGAAACAGGAAAUGUUAAAAGUAAAAAGUGAGGAAUUUUUAAAUUUAAUUUGCUGCAAGUUUUUGUUUGUUUGUUUGUUUGUUUCUAAUAAAAAUGACAGAUAACAAUAAUUUGAUCUGAGAGCUUAAACAUUCAGUGACUGUCUAAGGCUGUGACAAAAAGAAUUUUGUUAAUGUUCUUACUAGGAUUCAGAGAUCCCUUCUUAUUACAGUAACAUUAAUCUGUACUUAUGCGAAGUUCUCAGAACAUACAACCAUCUCAGAACUACAAAUAUAUUGGAACCAUUUUAUGAGACCAUUAACGUGCAACAGAGUUUUAGAGUCUUUGAGUCCUGUCUUAGCACACUCUUGGCUCUUAAUAAAUGACUCACCAAGAGUAGCAUAAUAGUUUUCUUUUUAAAAUAUAAAUUAAUGAAUUACAGUGAAAGAACAUAAAAUGAGCUACAGAUAAAUCAUUUUUUUGUUGUUGUUUUGACUACGUGGAUUUUCAUUUCAUCGAUACCUCUGGAAGAAAACUACCACAAACUGGCACUCCACAGUUGAAUAUUCAUGAGAAUCACUGGCUUAAACCAAUUUACUUUUCUUUCUUUUUUCCAGGAUUUUUUAUAUUCAUUCCAUGUGUUUUUGAGAGAAGAAUGUAGUGUGCUCCUAUCUCUUGGUUAACACCUCAGCUGAGGAGUAGUAUGAAUUGCUUCUUAUUUUGUUUGUUCUGUUGUUUUGUUUCAUUUUCCACUCUAUUUAGUUUUCUCUUAUUAGAGGGAAAAAAUGUUUCUCCAAACAGCUGUUUUUUUCAAUAACAUGCAUCAGAUGAAUACCACAACAUUAUCUAUUAACAUGUAUAUAUAUAAUGAUAUAGAUACGUAAUUUACCAUACAGUAUCUCCUCCUCCUAAGUGUGUUGUACACAAUGAGGUGUGACUGGAUAUCAUAAACAACACCAUAUGACCUUGCAUGAUGUGCUACCCUAGCUCUGCUGCCUGCAGUAGAAACCACACAGAUUUAGGUGGCACAAAACAAACCAUGAAGAUAGAACUUGACAGAAGCAAAACAAAAUGUUUUUAUUUGCCACUACCUGCACUUGAGGGGAUGAUUUUCUGAGAAAGUUGGAUGCACCUUUUCUUCCAUUUGAAAUGAAAACAUGCACUGCAUCAUGCAGUGUUUUGUAUUACAUGAAAUAGUCUCCCAUGAUCCCCUGGGAGACUAUUUGAGCUGAGAUAGGUGCUGGGAUUGUUCAUGGGAUACUUCUGAGGAAACAGAGCCAUACAUCUGCUAUAUCCAUAGUCCUUAACAGAGUUUCCUGAUCCUUGAUGCUGUGGGUGCAUGGUAUACCUAGUUGUGUUCCUCUAACUCACAAUUCAGAAAAAGAAACAAAAAUAGAAAAAGGAUAUCUCUUGCCUUCCCUUUCUUUUCUCACAUACCUGCAGAAGAAACCAACUUUUCAAACCCAUAUCUUACAGUAGGGAAGAAAAUAAAUUCCUGCUUUUGAAAUAAGAGUUGUUGUAUCACAUAUGAAUUUGAGGAAUUUGCAGAUUUAUAAGUUUAUGCAGAAAUCACAGCAGAGGUAUGCUUUCAAAAUCACCCCUGUGCAAACAAGGAAAUAAUAAAAGACCAAGUUUUCAGAGGUGUUUAAUCACAUCACCAUGAUAUUACUAGCAGGUAUUAUGCUAGUCUUUUAGUCUAAUUUAUGGCGUUUUUCUUUUAAUUUAACAUGUUUGGGGAGGAACUCAAUCUGAGACAACAACUUAUACAUCUAGGAAUCUUAAUCAAAAACCAAAUUCCAUCCCUUAGGUCUGAUAUAACCUCAUCAUAUAUUCUAAGGAACUGUUCAACAGUUCAUAGUAUUCAGAAAUAAAACAUUACUAGAUCAAAAGGUGAACAUUAUGUUAGAACUUUCUUCCAAAUGGAUCUUCUUUGACUACAAAAUUCAGACAUUAAAUGUGUCUUCAUUUCUAAAGGGUAACAAAAGUCAAAAUCUAAGGUUUUCCUGUAAGGCACAAUGUUCCAAAAAACUUUGUUUCAACUGUUCUGUAGCAUUACAUUUUGAUAAGGUAGAAAUCUGCUGUUCUGGAAAGUUUGAAAAAUUGUCUCAUCUUUUUUUUACUCUUACUGUGCAUUAACUGAUAAUACAAACUAAAUGUCAAAAUGAAAUGUUUUGACCUUAUCAAAAUGGUUCGUUUUGGUUAUUUUCCCAUCAAGAUUUUAAACAAAAUUGGUACGUUAUUGUAAAACAUUUUAGUGUUGUUAAAUGCAAAUUAUCUUUCUGGCAACCUGUUUCACUGGAAAAAUCAUGAUCAGCUCAUCAGCUCAUCAGCAGACUUUGCUGAAUAUGGCAUUUUUUCUCCUGUAGAUCUGUAUGUCUGUGUGUUCAGUAUUUGUGGAGUAGAUGUGUGUUUAAUUCAAGCUGAACUGAAAUCACUUUCUCUAAAACAUGUGUUUGGAGAGUUGAGCUGAUUUAUGCUACACGUGGUUUCCUUGUAGUUUCACGUUAGGGCUAUUUCCGAUGAUUAAUGAUGUGUUAUAGUCAUGCCAGGGAUUUCUGUGUACGUUUUGGGUUGAAAGAAGCUGUAGGGGAUGUAGCUUGUAGCCAGCUGUCAAUCUAGCCCAGCCACACUAUAAUGGGCUUGACAGUUAUUGCUAUCUCUCCUCUCACAUUCUUAUGCUCUUCUUGAGCUCUGAGCAUGUAUAUAUCACAUAUACCAUCUUGGCCACAUGGGAGACUCUGGUGUGCUUCUCCUUAUGUGACGUGGUGGCCCAUGGGCACUUAAGAGUUUGCUGUUCUAUUUCCCUGAGAAUGCUAGGAUGAUUAAAUAAUUUAUUUAGACACAUUUAAUGGACUUUUAAAAGAUACAUUUAUUGGUUAUGAAAAAAGAUAAUGUAAAAGCACCCAGUACUGAAAUUCCCUCAAGAAAAUCUGCAGCUUGGGCAGUGAGAAUUUCUUUGUUACAGUUCAGUAAUUGGAUUUCAUGGUCUCCUGUGAGGCCCAGAAAUAAAAGCCAAAAAGUUGUCUACUGGGAAAGGCAUGCAAAUUGUGGCUAAGUACAGAAAAUAACGACAUCAAAUACAAAUACUGGCAAUGAGUGAUGCAUCCUUCAGCUCUGGUAGGAAGCUAAACAUCUGUCAGCAGCUAAAAUUCGGUAUAUAAGACUUUUUUAUUAUACUCCUAAUCAUUUCUAACUUCUUCACUCUGCUUCCUGUCUUGAUUAAAAACAUCUUCUGAGAUGUUUCAUUCAGAAAGUUGAAAACUUCUGUGCCUGGAAGGAUGGAAUGUACCUGUUUCUAAAGAGGAGCAGCAGUGAAAAUGACAAAGAAUGGACUGAUACAAAAAAAAAAAAAAAAAAAAAAGACCAGAAAAUUCUCUGAGGAACUUAUGUUCAUCAUGUGGAAAGUUCAGCAGCAAUAUACCAAAGCCCUCCAGGAUUGUGUUGGUGGCAACUAGCAUGGCGACUCUUAUUUUUGGUGCUUCACCAAGGAUAUCCAACUUGAUGUACAGGAAAUGGUAAACGAAGAUGCUGAAGUUUAAAUGACUUACUCAAGUAUACUUCAUGAAUCAAUGUCUGAAUCAUCUCCAGUUUGGUAACACUUGGUACACCAAAGCUGCAUUAUUACAGGUACUGUGCAAACAUACAACAAACACAUGCUCCCAAAAGAUAAUCAAAGAAAGAGAUAGGAUCUCAUUGUUCAAUACAAAUGAGAUAUGCACAUGGGAGAAGUGAGAUACUCACAGAUAUGAUGGUAUGUAUCACCAGUGUACAUUAUUUGCUUAAUCAGUCAAAAUAUUUUAAAAUUUCAGAACUACCAUAGUCUUUACAGUUGUGAGGUAAGAAAUAAAUAUUUGAAGUAUUAUUUCUGUUCCAGAAAAUUUUAAAAUGAAUAGGAAUAUUUGAAUGCAGCAUAAAACUAAAGAAAAUCUUACUAUUUAUUGUGCUUUUGGUCUUAUACAUCUAUGCCAAAGGACAAAGCAGCAAUAUUACAGCAAGCUUCUUCUAAAAAAAAUAGAUAAUUUAGGGAGUUUUUUUUCCCAUUUUGGAAGCUGCUCUAGAACUCAAUUCCUCUGGUAGCUUUAUGCAUGCAUUAUGAUAAUGCAAUUCUAAAAUAUUUAUUUUAGCUAAUAGCUAUUUCCUUUAGGUGAAUGCAUACUGUGCCGAAGAGUGCUGUAAAGAAGAGACUAGGAAUGGAAUGAGAAAAAAAAAAAAGAUGCUACUCAUUUCAGAUUUUGAAAGCAAGCAAAGUAAUUUUUUAUAGCAGAUGGAUGUUUCUAAAGUACAUUGUCUUUAGCCAUGGGUGAAAUGUGAGGAGAAUGUUUAAAUAUGUAGCCAAGUGUGAAUACAUAUUUCUACUGAUAAUAGAGUAGCUUAUUAUUUUUCAGCUUUUGAUGAAAUAAUAACAUUACAAGUUUUAAAAGGUAACUGGGCAAUUUUUUCCACCUUUUCCAUUUUUCUUUUUGACUUAUCUAUUAAAAUUAGAAAUUUUUAUUAUGAUGUCCUUUUUCAAGGUGUGUAUUUAAGUGCUUUCCACUCUCUUUUGCCCUUCUCUCUUUCUUCCAUUCCCUGACUUCCUGAAACUGUAGAACUGGGCAGCAAUUUUAGAAUGGUAACAACCGAGUAAAAUUCAGUAAUAAUAUAGAUAUGGAUGGAUCUAUUUCUGGAGUUAGUGAAUUGUUGGCUGGAUAUUUAUGUUGAGAAAUUACAAUCUUCUGAGGUUGAAAAUUCUGUCCAUUUCAUUUUUCCUUUUUUUUUUUUUUCACUGAAGCAGUAAAAAAACAAUAAUAAAAUAAAAUAAAAAAUAAAGGUGAUUUUCUCAGUGCCAUCACUUUUUUGUGUUUUUCCCUCCCGUGGAGAAUGGGAAAGAGAGGCCAGGAAGAGAAAGAGAAAACUGAAAAUAAUUAAUAAUAAUAAUGUAUAGCAAACAUUAAAAA